CAUAAUAUUUCUAUAAAUUAACAAUAUUAAACUAAAUAUUUAAUGUUAUUUUGAAAAUGUACUUUAUUUUAAUAAUAUAACACAACCGUCUUAACUCGCUCUUCUAAUUUUCAUAUUACCGAAAUUAAAAUGCCGUCGGCAUAUGUGGAAAUAGAAUAUGUUGCCUCUUCGAAACUUUCAUAUAAAUGAAAACUGCGCUGUUAAACUGCUGAAGAGACAGCUUCUAGCUUACGAUAUAUGGCAAACUAUGUAGUAUUCUAUAUCUAGUAAGCAAUGAGCAAUGUGGAGUCUGCACAGGCAGAGAUGCCCCGUUAUUAUAAUAAAAGUAUUUUUGAGAGUUGGUAACACUGUAAGGUUGGCACCAUCAAACAUGUCAACACAUUAAUAUCAAAUGUUUGACCGCAAACCUACCCUGGACUACGACAAACAUUUUAAAACCAAAGUCAGCUCAAUCGGCCCAGCCGUUCUCGAGUUUUAAUCAGAUUAACGAACAACAAUUCAUUUUUAUUUAUAUAGAAGAUAGAUAAGUCAUUUUAAAUAAAUGAUUGAUUUACCUAACAGCA